UGGGGAAUUUUGGACAAUGGGGGAAACCCUGAUCCAGCCAUCCCGCGUGUGCGAUGAAGGCCUUCGGGUUGUAAAGCACUUUUGGCAGGAAAGAAACGUCGCGGGUUAAUACCCCGCGAAACUGACGGUACCUGCAGAAUAAGCACCGGCUAACUACGUGCCAGCAGCCGCGGUAAUACGUAGGGUGCAAGCGUUAAUCGGAAUUACUGGGCGUAAAGCGUGCGCAGGCGGUUCGGAAAGAAAGAUGUGAAAUCCCAGAGCUUAACUUUGGAACUGCAUUUUUAACUACCGGGCUAGAGUGUGUCAGAGGGAGGUGGAAUUCCGCGUGUAGCAGUGAAAUGCGUGGAUAUGCGGAGGAACACCGAUGGCGAAGGCAGCCUCCUGGGAUAACACUGACGCUCAUGCACGAAAGCGUGGGGAGCAAACAGGAUUAGAUACCCUGGUAGUCCACGCCCUAAACGAUGUCAACUAGCUGUUGGGGCCUUCGGGCCUUGGUAGCGCAGCUAACGCGUGAAGUUGACCGCCUGGGGAGUACGGUCGCAAGAUUAAAACUCAAAUGAAUUGACGGGGUCAUAGCUGUUUCCU
rnacentral:rRNA from 1 species